rfam:Spirochaetes bacterium RBG_16_49_21 RBG_16_scaffold_5474, whole genome shotgun sequence.
GGGCGCUUAGCUCAGCUGGAAGAGCAUCUGCCUUACAAGCAGAGGGUCACUGGUUCAAGUCCAGUAGCGCCCA